rnacentral:rRNA from 1 species
AUGGAUCUCCCAGACCUCAACUUCACUCCACCUGCAGAAGAUGUGGACGAAAUGGAUGAAGAAGCAGAAAAUGAAAUGGAAGGAGAUGUAGAAGAUGGAGUGGAAGGAGAUGAAAUUGUUCAAAAUCCAGGUGCUGGGAAAGUGGUAGAAAAAAAUAAAACCCUCAAUGACCAGCAAAAAUUUGUUGCUUAUGUAGCAUUGCAUACACUGUGUAUGAGUAGAGAGGAGGCACUUUUAAGAAAACUGAUACGCAAGACAUUGCAAUUUUUUUGGAGUGGGUGUUUGGAAUAUACAAAGAAUUUGGAGGAAAGCAAUGUUGCAAACUCAAUAAGGUCAAGAAGUAGAUGUUGCCGAUCAGAGAAAAGGAAAUAG